rnacentral:rRNA from 1 species
AGGUAAUAGAUACCCGGGUAGUCCACGCUGUAAACGAUGGAUACUAGGUGUAGGGGGCGUAGCCCUCUGUGCCGCAGUUAAACACAUUAAGUAUCCCGCCUGGGGAGUACGAUCGCAAGAUUAAAACUCAAAGGAAUUGACGGGGGCCCGCACAAGCAGCGGAGCAUGUGGUUUAAAUUCGACGCAACGCGAAGAACCUUACCAAGGCUUGACAUCUGUAGAAUUCGGUAGAAAUACUGAAGUGCCCUUUCGGGGGAACUGCAAGACAGGUGGUGCAUGGUUGUUGUCAGCUCGUGUCGUGAGAUGUUAGGUUAAGUCCUGCAACGAGCGCAACCCCUGUUGUUAGUUGCUACCAUUAAGUUGAGCACUCUAACGAGACUGCCGAGGUUAACUCGGAGGAAGGUGGGGAUGACGUCAAAUCAUCAUGCCCUUUAUGCCUUGGGUCCACACACGUGCUACAAUGGCCGGUACAAGAGAAGCAAGGCAGCGAUGCGGAGCAAAUCUCAAAAA